rnacentral:lncRNA from 1 species
UAGGGUAAAUUGAAACACGGAAAAAGAAACAAAGAAGAUCUUGGACCCUAUAUUAAACACAUGAGACGGAAACAUGAUUGAUUGAUCAUGAUCAUGAUUGAUUGAUUGAUUGAUUGAUUGAUUGAUUGAUUGAUUAGUUGGUUGGUUGGUUGGUUGGUUGGUUAAACACAUUGGAUAGGGUCAAUUGAAACACGGAAAAAGACACAAAGAAGAUCUUGGACCCUAUAUUAAACACAUGAGACGGAAACAUGAUUGGUUGAUCAUGAUCAUGAUUGAUUGAUUGAUUGGUUGGUUGGUUUGUUGGUUGGUUGGUUGGUUGGUUGGUUGGACCCUAUAAGAAACACAUGAGACGGAAACAUGAUUGAUUGAUUGAUCAUGAUCAUGAUAUUUUGAUUGAUUGAUUUGAUUGAUUGAUUGAUUGAUUGAUUGAUUGGUUGGUGUUGGUGUUGGUUGGUUGGUUGAAAUUCAAACACACAUAAAACUGUUUAAAUAGUGCCAAAACCACAUAAUUUGAUGACCUUGACCUUUGACCUUGUAACCUUCGUCAAGGUCAUUGCUCCACAAGGUAUUGCAAAAGACCCUAUGGGUCAAGGACCUUUUGUUUAAGAGUUUUGCCUAAAAAUGGCUUUUUAAAAACCAUCGAUGGGAGUUAUGUCCCUUACAUGAUGGUAAAAUCAAUAUAGUCAUAAUGUAAAAAAGUUGCCCCUUGAAGUACUUAAGCAUUUUUCACUGCUUAAUUUUUUGUAUCUAUAACCAUUCAAGAAUUAUAGGGAAAUCAAAGACAUAUGAAAAUCUAAAAUAUGACCUUGACCUUUGACCUUGACCUAAUUUUCUAAGUUAGGAAUCAGGGGACUCAAAUAAAACAUUCUAGGGUUAUACGGUUAACGGUUUAUGAGUUAAAAAAACAUACGACAAAUUUAUUCCGUAAAAGAUAGAUAACUCCUAUAAAAUUUCUUUCGAAUCGCUUCGAUCCAAAUUAGCCAAAAUUUCUGAGGAUGUAACGAACAAUUUUGUAAAAGAAUUUUGUCGCUAUCUUUUUUUUUACGAAGGAGAUGCACACACAUUGAAAACAGUGAUAGGGAGAUAACUCUUACAGAAAAUUGUUUAGCAGGGUAAAUUUAAAAGCGCAUAAACUAUACGAUACAUAUACAAAAUAUCUAAGCGACAUAUUGCGAAACAAAUGUUUAUCGCAAGAACAAAAUUGGCGGAAAAAAAAAAAAAAUAAUAAAAUAAAAACAAAUACAUAAGUCUUUCCACAGAAAAGUGGAAAGUGACCUUGACCUUUGACCUUGUAACCUUCGUCAAGGUCAUUGCUCCACAAGGUCAUUGCAAAAGACCCUAUGGGUCAAGGACCUUUUGUUUAAGAGUUUUGCCUAAAUAUGGCUUUUUAAAAACCAUCGAUGGGAGUUAUGUCCCUUACAUGAUGGUAAAAUCAAUAUAGUCAUAAAUGUAAAAAAGUUGCUGCCCUUGAAGUACUUACAUUUUUCACUGCUUAAAUUUUCUGUAUCUAUAACCAUUCAAGAAUUAUAGGGAAUCAAAGACAUAUGAAAAUCUAAAAUAUGACCUUGACCUUUGACCUUGACCUAAUUUUCUAAGUUAGGAAUCAGGGGACUCAAAUAAAAACUUCUAGGGUUAUACGGUUAACGUUUAUGAGUUAAAAAAAACAUACGACAAAUUAUUCCGUAAAGAUAGAUAACUCCUAUAAAAUUUCAUCAGAUCGCUUCGAUCCAAAUUAGCCAAAAUUUUCUGAGGAUGUAACGAACAAAUUUGUAAAAAGAAUUUUGUCGCUAUCUUUUUUUGUUACGAAGGAGAUGCACACACAUGAUAAACAGUGAAUAGGGAGAUACUCUUACAGAGAAAAUUGUUCGUCUUAGCAGGGUGAAAUUUAAAAGCGCAUAAACUAUACGAUACAAUAUGAGAAAUAUCUAAGCGACAUAUUGCCGAAACAAACAUUUAUCGCAAGAACAAAAGUUGGCGGAAAAAAAAAAAAAAUAAUAAUAAUAAUAAUAAUCAGACAAAUACAAUAAGUCUUCUCACAGAAAAGUGGAAGACUUAAUAAUAAUAAAUAUAAAGCAAUUGUUUUGAAAACAAUUGUUAGGCAGUCUUUCCCCUCUGAGAAUGGAUAAUUUGAUUUUUUUUUUAUGAUUGAUUUGGAAAAAAGGGGGGGGGGGUAUUUGUUUUUUUUUGUUUGUUUGUUUGCUUUGGUAUGGGGUCUAUAUUAUUAUUUUACCGGAGAAGUGUCAUGUUUAGUUUGGAAAGUUUUUCUUUUAUUUAGAUACAGCGCGCGCGCAAGAUUGAGGGAGAUCACGUGACGCGGGUUUAUAUAUAAGAAAAACUUAGUCUUUUUAUUUCUCUUUAGGUCGGGACGUUAAACAGACAACAUCUAUAGAGAUGGAAUGUACACAAUGUAAUUUCUUUUGUCAUUGUAGGAAAUUGACAUUUUCAUCACAGUUCACGGGCGUGCAUGUUUUGGAUUUAAUUUGAUCCGGUGUAACUUAAAACACAUUUAUUGAUUAUUUUCUGAUAAUGUACAUUUUUCAGCACCGUGUUUGUAACACAGAUUAAUAUUUCAAUCUCGGAGCGACAUUUAUUGUAGGUUUUUACUGAGAUUUUCGGACCUAGCAAGCGAUUUUUACAGCAUUGCAUUUCUUUUCCCUAGGAAAAGUCUUGAGAGAUAUCGCACCACGUUGUUUUAUGAACCUUUAGUACAUGUAUGCCCUGCUGACUGCAAAUUUUGAGGUCGAUUGUACUUGUAGUUUCAGAGAACAUGUGGAUUUUUUUUUCAGAAGUGACGUAAGAACAAUAUUAAAUUUCAAUUUUUCUUGAAUAAAUGAGAGUUUGCUCCUUCAAUAAACUCAUGGAUAAACAGUCAUACAGAUUGAUUGAUGAUUGAUUGAUUGAUUGAUUAGUUUGGUUGGUUGGUUGGUUGGUUAAACACGUUGGAUAGGGUCAAUUGAAACACGGAAAAAGACACAAAGAAGAUCUUGGACCCUAUAUUAAACACAUGAGACGGAACAUGAUUGGUUGAUCAUGAUCAUGAUUGAUUGAUUGAUUGAUUGAUUGAUUGAUUGAUUGGUUGGUUGGUUGGUUGGUUGGUUGGUUGGUUAAACACGUUGGAUAGGGUCAAUUGAAACAGCGAAAAAGAAACAAAGAAGAUCUUGGACCCUACAUUAAACACAUGAGACGGAAAGAUGAUUGAUUGAUCAUGAUCAUGAUUGUGAUUGAUUGAUGAUUGAUUGAUUGAUUGAUUGAUUAGUGUGUUGGUUGGUUGGUUGGUUGGUUAAACACGUUGGUUAGGGUCAAUUGAAACAGCGAAAAAGAAACGAAGAAGAUCUUGAACCCUAUAAUAAACACAUGAGACGGAAACAUGAUUGAUUGAUUGAUCAUGAUCAUUAUUGGUUGAUUGAUCAUGAUCAUGAUUGAUUGAUUGGUUGGUUGGUUGGUUGGUUGGUU